UAUUCUCAACCUUCAAAACUUUUUGUAUUGAAGGCUUGGACUUGGAGGCUUGUGCUGGCUCUCGUUAGUCGGCUCCUCUGAAAUGCAUUAGCGUGAAUGUUAUGGAUCGCUUCGGUGUGAUAAUUAUCUGCGCCGUGGUCGUGAAGUAUUUGAAGUUUGCGCUUCUAACCGUCCUUCACUGGACAACUUACCCUUGAC
rnacentral:misc_RNA from 2 species